rnacentral:rRNA from 1 species
GAUGAACGCUGGCGGCGUGCUUAACACAUGCAAGUCGAGCGAGUGAGUUCUUCGGAACGAUCUAGCGGCGGACGGGUGAGUAACACGUGGGCAACCUGCCUCAUAGAGGGGAAUAGCCUCCCGAAAGGGAGAUUAAUACCGCAUAAAAUUAUCGAGUGGCAUCACAUGAUAAUCAAAGGAGUAAUCCGCUAUGAGAUGGGCCCGCGGCGCAUUAGCUAGUUGGUGAGGUAACGGCUCACCAAGGCGACGAUGCGUAGCCGACCUGAGAGGGUGAUCGGCCACAUUGGGACUGGGACACGGCCCAGACUCCGACGGGAGGCAGCAGUGGGGAAUAUUGCACAAUGGGGGAAACCCUGAUGCAGCAACGCCGCGUGAGUGAUGAAGGUCUUCGGAUUGUAAAACUCUGUCUUCUGGGACGAUAAUGACGGUACCAGAGGAGGAAGCCACGGCUAACUACGUGCCAGCAGCCGCCGUAA